AUUGAACGCUGGCGGCAGGCCUAACACAUGCAAGUCGAGCGGAUGAAGGGAGCUUGCUCCUGGAUUCAGCGGCGGACGGGUGAGUAAUGCCUAGGAAUCUGCCUGGUAGUGGGGGAUAACGUCCGGAAACGGGCGCUAAUACCGCAUACGUCCUGAUGGAGAAAGUGGGGGAUCUUCGGACCUCACGCUAUCAGAUGAGCCUAGGUCGGAUUAGCUAGUUGGUGGGGUAAAGGCCUACCAAGGCGACGAUCCGUAACUGGUCUGAGAGGAUGAUCAGUCACACUGGAACUGAGACACGGUCCAGACUCCUACGGGAGGCAGCAGUGGGGAAUAUUGGACAAUGGGCGAAAGCCUGAUCCAGCCAUGCCGCGUGUGUGAAGAAGGUCUUCGGAUUGUAAAGCACUUUAAGUUGGGAGGAAGGGCAGUAAGUUAAUACCUUGCUGUUUUGACGUUACCAAAAGAAUAAGUACCGGCUAACUUCGUG
rnacentral:rRNA from 1 species